rnacentral:rRNA from 1 species
CGUAUAUGAGGCGAUGCUGAUCAGCCAUGCCGCGUGUGUGAAGAAGGUCUUCGGAUUGUAAAGCACUUUAAGUUGGGAGGAAGGGCAGUAAGUUAAUACCUUGCUGUUUUGACGUUACCAACAGAAUAAGCACCGGCUAACUUCGUGCCAGCAGCCGCGGUAAU